GGCAUGAUGGCCAAGUGGUAAGGUGUUGGUCUCGUAAACCGAAGAGCACGGGUUCAACCCCCGUUCGUGCCU